rnacentral:pre_miRNA from 1 species
UACAAUGGUUAACUCUUCGUCUUAUUAAAAAAAAUUAUGAUUUAAUAAUUUUAUUUUUAUUAGAUGAUAAAACAUGAAUAGUACUUUAUGUGUGAUUAAUUUUUUAAAAAUUUCUUGAGAAAAUUUUCAAAUAAGACGGAUGGUCAAAUGCUCGACACGAAAACCGA